ACUUAGCGGCGGACGGGUGAGUAACGCGUGGGCAACCUGCCUUACACAGGGGGAUAACAAUUAGAAAUGAUUGCUAAUACCGCAUAAGACCCCAGUACCGCAUGGUACAGGGGUAAAAACUGAGGUGGUGUAAGAUGGGCCCGCGUCUGAUUAGGUAGUUGGUGGGGUAGAAGCCUACCAAGCCGACGAUCAGUAGCCGACCUGAGAGGGCGACCGGCCACAUUGGGACUGAGACACGGCCCAGACUCCUACGGGAGGCAGCAG
rnacentral:rRNA from 1 species